UGUUCUUGAUGAAACUCGUGCAUGUCAACUGAUCCAGAAUCCCCCCUGUGCCUCGGUGGCCAGUUGGCAUUCUGUCAACUGGUUGUUAGAAUGGCCUCAGGGCUCCCUGGGUGUUAUCUAAGGCA
ensembl:snoRNA SNORD10 small nucleolar RNA, C/D box 10